GAUGAACGCUGGCGGCGUGCCUAAUACAUGCAAGUCGAGCGAACAGACGAGGAGCUUGCUCCUUUGACGUUAGCGGCGGACGGGUGAGUAACACGUAGGUAACCUACCUAUAAGACUGGGAUAACUUCGGGAAACCGGAGCUAAUACCGGAUAAUAUUUCGAACCGCAUGGUUCGAUAGUGAAAGAUGGCUUUGCUAUCACUUAUAGAUGGACCUGCGCCGUAUUAGCUAGUUGGUAAGGUAACGGCUUACCAAGGCAACGAUACGUAGCCGACCUGAGAGGGUGAUCGGCCACACUGGAACUGAGACACGGUCCAGACUCCUACGGGAGGCAGCAGUAGGGAAUCUUCCGCAAUGGGCGAAAGCCUGACGGAGCAACGCCGCGUGAGUGAUGAAGGUCUUCGGAUCUUAAAACUCUGUUAUUAGGGAAGAACAAAUGUGUAAGUAACUGUGCACGUCUUGACGGUACCUAAUCAGAAAGCCACGGCUAACUACGUG
rnacentral:rRNA from 1 species